AACAAAAACAUGUCUUUUUGAUUAUAAUUUAAAGUCUAACCUGCCCAAUGAAUUAUUUGAAUGGCCGCGGUAUUUUGACCGUGCUAAGGUAGCAUAAUAAUUAGUUUUUUAAUUGAAAACUGGUAUGAACGGUUGAACGAGGGAAAAACUGUCUCAAUUUAAUUUAAUUAGAAUUUUAUUUUUAAGUAAAAAAGCUUAAAUAUAUUUAAAAGACGAGAAGACCCUAUAGAGUUUAAUAUUUUAUUAAGAAUUAAAUUAUUAGAUUUUUUUUUUAAUUUUAAUUAAAGUAUUUUAUUGGGGUGAUAAAAAAAUUGAAUAAACUUUUUUUAAAUUUUAUCAUUGAUUUAUGAAUAAGUGAUCCAUAAUUUAUGAUUAUAAGAUUAAAUUACCUUAGGGAUAACAGCGUAAUUUUUUUUGAGAGUUCAUAUCG
rnacentral:rRNA from 1 species